rnacentral:ncRNA from 1 species
ACUUUGGAGACGCUCAUUUUUGAGGGCCGAAGGGGCAAAAACGGCGGUUCGGGCCGUUCUAAUCUCUCAGGCAAAAGGACAAAG